rnacentral:tRNA from 1 species
UUCCCGCGUAGCUCAAUGGCAGAGCAUCCGACUGUUAAUCGGACGGUUGCUGGUUCGAGUCCAGCCGCGGGAGCCCA